GGGGAAAUGGAGGAAGGAAGGGCUGUGAGAAAAGCCCUCUCAGGGCCCAGAUCUGCUAGUGUCAGGGAGGGGAUGAAGAUGGUAGAAAAUACAACAGGAGGGAGUUUGUCUUUCUGAGCAAGAUUAUUUACUCUCAGCCUAGGUGAUACUUUGCAGGUAGCCGUCGCAAAACAGAUGCUCCUGGGGAAAUCUUUAGGAUUUCUGCUGGGUGGAUUCAAGACGGCAUCAGCUUGGAAAGAUGUGAUGCUGGGUCUGAAUGCACUCCAGCGCCCUGUUCUAGUCUUCUGACAAGCAGAUAAGAAGAAUGAGAACUACUAUCCCAGGCUCUGGUGCCCUUGGCAGAUGAUUAAAAAUGCAAUCCAGUGGACACAGAAGCCAACAGCCUCUCUCAGGGCUGAAAAAGCCAAGUCCCAGGCUGGGAUUUGCCUGUUUGGACUCCAACAAAACCGAACCAUGUGAAGCUGAGCUCUGCUGUGGUCUUCUUGCUCAGCUCCCUGCUCUCCAGGUACGAUGUGCUGAGGUGGUGGUGACAGGGCCAGGGACAUUCCACCCAUCCUGCCUUGGGCUGCUGUAGGAUGCUGGACAUCGGCCUCUCCAAUCUGUCCAGCUGCAUGUCUCCUCUGCUUGUGGCCUGAACCCAAAGUUGUGUUUUCAUCCCCCAAAUCAUCCCACCCUACUUGUUUCUCCUGCCAGCCAAGCAAGUGACUAUGGGGAUAAGGGGUUGCUUUUGAGAUACGUACUGCGGUGGUGGGUAAAACCAGGCAGCAGUGCAGUCCUGCAUGUAGGACAGGAGUGACUUGCAAACUAAAUAAUCGUGCCAAGUUUAUUAUAAUUAUGCUAAUGAAAUCAAUGGACUGGGGAAAGCGUGGGCAAUACAGUGUGGGUCAGUGGAAAAGGGUUGUCAGCCAUUGGAACAGGCUGCCCAGAUAUGUGGUUGCAUCACAAUCCCUGAAGGGGUUCAAAAGACACAUAGAUGAGGUUCUUAGGGCUGUGGUUUAGUGGUGGACUUCAGUGUUGGGUUAACCAUUGGAUCUGAUGAUCUUCAAGGUCUUUUCUAAUCAAAAUGAUUCUGUGAUAACAGAGGACUUUGCCCAGCAAGUGGUGGUGGUGGCACAAAUCCUGGCUCCUUUCUGUUCCCAGGGGCUGCACCUCAUCCACAUGGUGCAGAAAACAGUGUGAGUCAAAACCUCUAGAGAAGCUGUUGUAGCUUUUCAUUUUGUCGCUUGUCACAAAGCUGUGCCCACAGCCUGUCCUGGCUGGGUGAUGUCCAGGCCACACUGAGUCUCACUCCAGCUCCCGCCGCAGCCUCUGCUGGUGCCUCCACCAGCAACAGGCACGGAAUUUGCUCCCUUGCUGCAAAAAGCUGCAUCAGGCCAAGCAGCACUGGGAGUCACAAAUCUGCCCUGGGGGAGAGCAAAAAAGUGCAGUGAUGGCUGCUCUGGGGAGAUUGGGAAGCUCUUGAGGAAAGAGAGAGAAUAUAAUUUGCUCCAGUUUUGGGGGCAGCAACUUGUAAGAUGCUCAGCACUUCCCAGAAUUCAAGUCUUAGCUUCCUGUUAACGUUUCAGUGAGAAUAAGAAUAGUUGCUGGGGAAAGAUGCAAACACAUGUUUCACCAGUAAACGGUGCCCAAACACAGACUGUUUUACAGGUGCACCUUUAUUUGCCUUCUGCCUGUUGUGCCAUUGCUCAGAAGCCAUUGUAGCAUCUGUCUGUUUAGCAAGGAGGAAGGGACUGAAAAUAUGUUUAAAAUCUCAGAUGUGGAGGCAGGUGUUUAGCUCUGAAUGCUGUGACUUUUCUCUCUCUGGUGAUGGAUGGGAAAGACCCAAACAAAUAAACAAAUGCACUGAUUGUGAACCACUGGGAUACAGAAAAGACAGAGUCAAGGUGGAGGGAGCCCGAUGUAGGAAAGGAGACAAUAACUUGAUGGCUUGGUGAACUGCAGGGGAUGCAUUAGCAGACCUGCUUAUGCAUUUGCCAGCCAUUUGGUCAUACAGCCAUCAGAGUUUGCACCUUUCCUUAAGCUGUUAUUAUCUGUGUCCUGCUCUUGGUUGUUCACCCCAAAGUGUUUUUCCUGCUGCUCACAAAGUGGCAGAAACACUCAGCGAGGAUCUUGGCACUGCAUUUUCCCAUGGGAUUUUUUCAUGCAAAGCUCCCCUGUGCUACAGCGGCUGCAUUUCUGGAUGUGUGAUUAUUUCCAUUAGUCUCUAGAGGUCUCCAAACACACAGCCUGGACUUUCAGGACCUGAACAUGGUGCUUGCCCCUGCACCACACACCAUACAUUGGUUUUUUCCUUGUUGCACUGCCUGGCUCUGCAGUUCACCCACAGCAUGAUGCUCUGGUUUCUGACACCUGCUCAGGUUUUACUGUCAGGUCUUGUAGGAAAGAGACGUCCAUCCCAUGAUUAACUGAACAAUGCCAUUGGAAAUUGCCCCAGGUGCCCUCUCCACAUGUGUUGAUCCAUAUCUACCUUGUCCCAUCAGCCAGAAAUAUCAGCCCACAGCCUUAGCUGUGCCAACACCUGUGCUGUAUAUGUCCUCAGACAUUAUUGCACAGCCCUGUCUCCUAUUAAUAUUCACCUAUAUAUGUACUCACAUAUGUAUAGCAGCCACUGAACCUCAGCGAUAUAUACCCACUGAAGGUCUGUGAUCACAAAUCAACCCGCGUUCCUUAAACACACCAAUGCAAACAAAACAGCCCAGUGCUCCUGGCCCACAGCCAUGUGUGGCUGGUGGACUCGGAUGUGCAAAGCUGCUUUAGUGGCUGGACACAGGGAUGCAGGCAGAGCCGGGCUCCUCUUGGAAUCACCCUUGGCCAACUCUCUUGGGACUAAUCCAGGUACUUCCAGACAUGUAGCCUUAUGGAAUAAUUUAAGAUUAAGCUGAGAAAUCAUGUAUUUUUGGUGGUGGGCUCUAACCACCAGUUAGGCUGGGCACAGCAGCGAGAAUGGAAGUGGUACCAUUGCAAAAUCCCUCACUUUUUCUUGCUUUGAACAUCCUCAUCCAGGCACCAACCACCACUUGUCUGGGGAGAGCACCGUGACUCCCUUUUCCAGCCCAAGGACUCAGGGCUUUUCCUCCACCUCUGCAGCUGGAGUGACUCACUGGCUUUCCUAAAACCCCAUGCUCUUUUUUUAGGACAAUAGCUUUGCAGGAAAAAAACAUACCAUAAAACAAUAGCCUGGGUGCAAGCAGAGCCCCACGGACAUGGCCCUCUGGCUGUGCUCCAGGUAGGCUCAGCUCUUUCUCGGAGGGUGGAUCAGGAUUACUCCAAAUCCAGAUGGGUCUACCAGAGCCUUCCCCACCACACCAAAUCAGGGGCUGCGAUUUCCCCAGCACAUGCCUCUGUGUGAGGCUUCUCCAGACUUGCUUAUCUGUCACUUGGCAGUAUUUGUACCUCCUCCGCAGCCAUUUCAGUUUCUCCAGGGAAUUCCUAAAACUCCCCCAUGCAAUUGGGAAUCAGUCCUCUGUUCCAGCUGUGCCGCCUCGAGAAUGUGUUACCCUGAGAAGGGUUUUGAUGCAUGGCCUUGCCAGCUCAUCCCGGUUCCCUUUCCCCCAGACCUACACCUCAGUGUUAAUUCUCUGCUCCUGGUUGCUCAGCUUGGGACAUCUCUCCAGUGCUGCUGUCUACAAGCAGCAUCCAGGGACCGGCCAUCUCAGUGCCAUGUCAGGGCUGGAUGGUAAAAAUGCUCCUCCAGGCUUAGUGCUGGAGAAGAAAAAAACUAUAUAUGGAUGCAACUCCUUUGAGUUAAACCUUGGUGCAACAGGCUAUGUUAUAUCUAUAUUUCUGCAAUCUCACACUGCUGUGCUUUACGGGACUGGCCAGAAGAGGGCUGGAGACUCCAGGCAAAUCCCUGAGACAAAUGAUAAUCAUAAGAAAAAUCACACUUGGGUCUAACUCUAGGGAAGCCUGAUGCAACACUUGCUGCUGCUCUGGGAUAGGGUCAGCUCUGUAGUCUGCACCUCUGAUACCUGCUUUAAAAAGAAUUCAUCCUCUCUGAACAUGCAUUGCAGAAGGAGCCCCUUGCAUCUGCACAGCCUGAACACUCCAAGGCAGCUUGCUGCAGAGCAAGAGGAAAACAUCACACCCUGCAAGGUGGCAAGAGAAACAGGGAGAAGGUAACACCCCCCGGCACACUCUGCCAGGUGCCAGACGGGUGUUGACUGAGCUUCAUGCACCUUGUUGGAGUGCCAGCUCCACGAACGAGCCACUGAGCUGCUGGGAAUGGCUUCUGUGUUGGUGGCUUGUAGGGCUGUUGCGUUUGUCAGAUUUUCCAUUCUUUGCCUGCUUGUUAUCAUGUCUUGUCACCCUCCCAGCUAGGCACUGGUGCUGCUGAAGGGGAGGCCAUGUCCUCCCCAUGGCACUCGUCUGGGCAGCUGCCGGUAUGAAAUCCUGCUUUUACACCUGUUGGCUGGCAAGUGAGAAAAGGAGCCUGGUUCUGUCCUGGCAGUGCUGUGAAUGUGAAUCUCUGUAAGCAAAAUCUCUGCCUCUCGGUGCACUAUUCCCCCGUGCUGGUGAAAGGGCAAGGCAAUCCCAGCCCCACCGGCGCCGUGAAACAGCACAAGUGCAACUGAGGCCAAGCCAGGAGCCGCUGCUGUUCCCUGCUCAGGAUUUCCCUUUCACGCGGCUUUGAGGAGCAGGGAUGAAAGGCAAGGCAAUGGAAACACAAAGCACAUCUGGUUUAUUUUAUUUAUGACUAGCCUCUGCUUAAAAGGAAACCAGCAUUAUCAGUUCCAGCACCCCCAGGUCAGAUGAGUAAAUGAAAGAGGAGGGUUUCGUUUAUGAUCUGGAACUCAAGUUUGCUCUUAUAUGGGCAUCCCCACCAGGCAUUGCUUGCUGCCACCUUGCUGCUACUCGUGUCACGGGGACGCAAGGCUCCAGCUGAGCCAGGGUCCUCCAGAGGUGAAAGGCACAAAGCAGAGAAAGUGGUUGAGCUCAUGUUGGAUCUACCCCUAUCUCCUUGGCUCAGGGCAGCUACACGUGCUGCAACACAAACAUCGCUGCAGCCAGCACAUCCCAGCCGGUCAGUGCUCAUACUUGCAGUGUUGUUAUCCAGCCAGGCUUU